rnacentral:rRNA from 1 species
CAGUCGCCACGGUAAUACGUAGGUGGCGAGCGUUGUCCGGAAUCAUUGGGCGUAAAGGGAGCGCAGGCGGGCAUAUAAGUCUUUCUUAAAAGUGCGGGGCUCAACCCCGUGAUGGGAAAGAAACUAUAUGUCUUGAGUACAGGAGAGGAAAGCGGAAUUCCCAGUGUAGCGGUGAAAUGCGUAGAUAUUGGGAGGAACACCAGUGGCGAAGGCGGCUUUCUGGACUGCAACUGACGCUGAGGCUCGAAAGCCAGGGGAGCGAACGGGAUUAGAUACCCCAGUAGUCCCUGUCUCUUAUACA